AGAGUUUGAUCCUGGCUCAGGAUGAACGCUGGCGGCGUGCUUAACACAUGCAAGUCGAACGGAACUUGUAAGAGGAAGUCUUCGGAUGGAAACUUACUUGUUUAGUGGCGGACGGGUGAGUAACGCGUGGGUAACCUGCCUUACACAGGGGGAUAACAGCCGGAAACGGCUGCUAAUACCGCAUGAGCGCACAGCUUCGC
rnacentral:rRNA from 1 species